GACGAACGCUGGCGGCGUGCCUAAUACAUGCAAGUCGAGCGCGGGAAGCUUGCGGAAUCCUUCGGGAGGAAGUGAGCGGACCGAGCGGCGGACGGGUGAGUAACACGUGGGCAACCUGCCCGUAAGACGGGGAUAACCCCGGGAAACCGGGGCUAAUACCGGAUAGGUGACCUUUCUGCAUGGAGGGGUCAUGAAAGGCGGCGGAAGCCGUCGCUUACGGAGGGGCCCGCGGCGCAUUAGCUAGUUGGUGAGGGAAGGGCUCACCAAGGCGACGAUGCGUAGCCGGCCUGAGAGGGUGAACGGCCACACUGGGACUGAGACACGGCCCAGACUCCUACGGGAGGCAGCAGUAGGGAAUCUUCCGCAAUGGACGGAAGUCUGACGGAGCAACGCCGCGUGAGUGAGGAAGGCCUUCGGGUCGUAAAGCUCUGUUGUUCGUGAAGAAGGGGUUGGCCAGGAAAUGGGCCGACAUUGACGGUAGCGAACCAGAAAGCCCCGGCUAACUACGUGCCAGCAGCCGCGGUAACACGUAGGGGGCAAGCGUUGUCCGGAAUGAUUGGGCGUAAAGGGCGCGCAGGCGGCCUCUUAAGUCUGAUGUGAAAGCCCACGGCUCAACCGUGGAGGGACAUUGGAAACUGGGGGGCUUGAGUGCAGGAGAGGGGAGUGGAAUUCCACGUGUAGCGGUGAAAUGCGUAGAGAUGUGGAGGAACACCAGUGGCGAAGGCGGCUCUCUGGCCUGUGACUGACGCUGAGGCGCGAAAGCGUGGGGAGCGAACAGGAUUAGAUACCCUGGUAGUCCACGCCG
rnacentral:rRNA from 1 species